GACGAACCGUGCGAACGUUGUUCGGAAUCACUGGGCUUAAAGGGCGCGUAGGCGGGCUGCCAAGUCCGGGGUGAAAUCCUCCGGCUCAACCGGAGAACGGCCCCGGAUACUGGCGGCCUCGAGGGGGGUAGGGGCAUGCGGAACUCUGGGUGGAGCGGUGAAAUGCGUUGAUAUCCAGAGGAACUCCGGUGGCGAAGGCGGGUCUCGUGGGCCUUACCUGGACGCUCAGGCGCGAAAGCUAGGGGAGCGAACAGG
rnacentral:rRNA from 1 species